AUUCUUUCUCCUCCUGGUCUCCUAGGAACCUAAAAGGCCAACAUUGCUCCCAGCCUUUAACUCAAAGCACUGAGAGCCCCCGUUGACAUUCUCAAGUGUCUGGGGAGAAGGCUUAAAUCAGAAGCGUAAUGUUGAUCUGAGCUAAAGGCAGCUGGCAUGUUUUUCCUGAGGAAUGUCUGAAGCAGUGGGCUCUCUCUGGAGUCAUCAACCUAAAAAAGUCUGGAUGGAGAAAAGACAGGCUGGAUAUCAAGAGGUAGGGGGAAUGUGCUCUGGGGUCAAAAUGUUUGUUGGAGCAACGUAAUCUUCCCAUGAGAGGAAACCUGGGACCCGUUCGGGACGGCCUUCUUCGGAGUUCUCCUAAAACCCUCAGGCUUCCGUUCAAUUAAACUUGGUUAUAAACACAUCAUAAGUUCACAGCACCCAGAGCGCACCCCUUGAAGGCCUCUGAGCUGAUGAGUGAGAGCACGUUAGCAGGGGGAGCAGCACAGGGAGAGGGAGACCAUGACCUGUGCCGAAGGCAAGAUGCUUAACCAACUGAGUCAUCAAGGUCUUUCUGCUCCUCCAAUUCUUAAUGAGUAUGUUAUCUAGAGCACCAGUCCAAUAGAGGUCAUCACAAAACAAGAACAAGAUAGGCUUACUUCUUCUCUACACUGUUGGUCUCCGAGUAUGGCUAGACAAUUUUGAGGCUUCCUGCUGGGAGAGGUCAUGUGGCCCAGCCCACACACUGGCCAUGAACUUCUUGUUCCUGAAAAAUGAGUCCACGGCAGUGGGAACAGUCAUUGUCUGAGCAGACAUGUUCCCAUCUACUAUCUCAUCAUGAGUAAAGCUCUGAGCCUAAAGAUGAGGCAUAGCCAGGGGCUGCCACUUUGUGAACAAUGUACAACCUGCAUAAGCAAAGGUUGAAAUGAGCCUAAUAAAUUGGACACAUCUCUA